ensembl:lncRNA
UAACAGGAUACAUUGCAGGCUGUUUCUAUCUGGGUCUCACACACUGAACAGAGAGGAGACAUGAAAGCUGCGGUGGGACUGCUGGUGCUGCUGGUCGGAGUUUCUUAUAGUGUGGAAACUUACUGUGAUGCCAGACAGGAUGGAGCUCAGUGUUUUGGAACUUUGGAAGGAAGUGUGGACAUCCAACUGAUGGACAGCACCUCAGAAUUACCUAGAUACCAAUUAUUAAAGAAUUCUUUAAAAAUGUUAGAUGUGAAAAAUGAUCAGGUUAAUAUGAUAGGAAACAGGUCUAUCUUUAUUGCCAGUAAUGGAACAUUUAGGCUCAAUAACCUGAGCAGGACAGACAGUGGUAAUUAUAGCCUUAAAACCUAUGAUUCAGAUGGAAGAUCAUCAGGCGUGCAAACUUUACAGUUGUUUAUUCAAGCUCCUGUGUCCUCUGUCCUGCUGGUCUCUGAGUGUCUGUCCCAGGGAGAGAGGAGGGUGUCUUGCUCCUCUGAGGGAGGGGACAGUCCUCAGUACACCUGGACUCUGGAUGGACGCACACUGACAGAUGCUGAACUCUUUUCUGUAAAUACUAAGACUAACAUCAUCACUCUGAAACAGCACGUCUCAGGACGUCUGGUCUGCUCAGUCAGGAACAAUGUCAGUAGUGUCUCCAAAGAGGAGAUGAUAUCCACCUGUGGCUUCAUUUUCAUUAACUGCACUUCAGUCAAUGGGACACAGAUAUCAGGGUGGGUGUAUGAAGCCAAUAAUACCCUGUGUAUUGAAACAACAACAGACCAUACACAAACUGGCACUGUGUCAAAAGAAAACUCCACUAGCAGCAGUGAUGACCCAUGGUACAUAAGAUAUUUCCCACUGGUUGGUGUUGUUCUCUCAGCAGCUGUAAUUUACUUAGUUGUGGGUGUAGCACUCAUCUGUGCUCAGAGGCAAAAGCAAAACUACAGACCAACAAAACAAAAAGAUGAAGAAGGUGACCAUGAAGUAAGCUAUGCUAAUCUAGGGGUCAUGAAACAGCAGGAGAAGCAAGUGGAGCAAACAGGACAGGUGGAAACAGAGGUGGAAGCAGAGGUGGAAGCAGAGGUGGAGUAUGGCCAAGUCAAGAUUUCAAAGCUCCCUCAGCACACUGAACCUACAGAAGACGAUUGCUUGUACGCCAGGGUUCAUAAAGUCAGGUGAAUUAAGAGCUUCUAUGCAGAAUAACCACUGAAGAGCCACAGAGGAGGACUUGUUGUCAAGAUGUGUGAAUGUCUCUCAUUUAUUGUGAUUUUCAGUGUAUGAGCUUUUCACAUCAAAGCUCAUACAUAUUGAUUUUCUUCACUUUCACUGCACUUGUUGUUCAUAACAGGGCAUAAAUCCAUACUGUAUUAGGUGGCUCUCAAUUACAAGCACCAUGAGUGUAUUAUUAUAUUUUUUAUUUGUAUUCUGUUAAAGAUCUGAGAUUUCCUCCUGUCGUCAGCGUGACAUGUUUUUCACUUAUCUCGUUAAAGAAAUAAGGUAAAAUUGAAAAACAUUUUUUGACAAAUUUCACUGCAGCAACACUUUACAGUGA